UAGUAACUGCCACCGGGUAGUGAGUGCAUAUGCAUUCGUUUAUACAUCGUUAGGUCUUGGAAGAUGUAUAUGCGGAUGCAUUUUGUUG
rnacentral:ncRNA from 1 species